GCGCGGACGGUCGGCAUCGAUGCAGCUGAGGCGUCGAUCCAUUCCAGCCGAGUCGCGGUUGGGGAUGAAGCCGAGGCGAAACUUGCGAGGGGACCCGUCGCGGGAGGGAGGCGAGGCGCUCGAGCGACAUCGAUGGAGUGAUGGGGUAAGAUCUACAGCACAUGGGCUGCUUCGGCGAUGGCGUAUGGUGGAUGUGCCGGUUGUGUGCAUGAGAAGAUAGAGGCCAUGAGCAACGGUUCCACGGUUCGAGCACAAAGUACUACCUCUGUAACCUCCCUCACGCCUCCUUCCGUGUCUCCUCGAUUGGCACAUCACACCAUCGUAGGCAUCCCCUUCUCCCUUCCGCUGGAGCACGAGCACGAGCACAUCAGCAGUCGCCUCUUAAUCCUAUCCUCCUUCCCUCUGUCGGACGGCAGCUCCCGAAAACCAAAUUUUCUGAGAGCUGAGAUAGGCGGCCGUGGGAGCUGACGCUCGAAGUAAACUUGGGGAGCCAGAUGCGAUCAGAGUUGAUGAUAACCACCAAGCAGCAAUGGCCACAUCGGUCAAGGAUCAAUAACAUGAGCAAGUGAACCGUACACUACUAUUGGGGAUGGCUGAGACGCUACAAGACAUAUAUUAUCAUAUUACAGGCUCAUCUUUGCUGUUGUAAGUACCACACAUCACAUAUGACAUAUCAUAUUGCGUCUACACAAGCAAUUAUAACAUGUGUUCCAAACAGCAUAUGUGUGAAGAACACAAACAAUAGAUAUGGGACUGUAUUUUGUCCCGUCCAUUUUUCCGAAAACGAGUCCCUCAAGAAUCCUUCAAAUAUAAUCUCUCUUACAGUGUCGAUGCUUUUUUUACUGCUAUCGUAAAAUAAAAUCUUUAGUUACAGUUGCUUGAGUACAACUCAUGUUUCAGUUAGACUUAUGGUUUAUGCAUCUUGGCCAUGUUCCGAACUUCUAGCGAUGUCAAAAAUCACCAUCAUAACCAAAUUUCUCAUCUAUGGAAGUUAAGUUAAGCUAUACUUGUGUGAGGUUCUCCAUCUAAUAUUCUUAGCACUGAAUUUGUAGACCAGCAGUCAUAUACCCUAGAAGCAUAAACACCUAAGUUUAUUCAUGGUGCAUUAUAGAAAUUUGUAUGUUGUACAAUGGCAGUAUCUUUGCAUAUGUUCUAUCCGGAACCAGUUUGUCAGUAUGUCUUCCUAUUAUUACAUCUCUUAUUAGUGUUCUUUCUUAAAUAGUUUAUCUGCUAAUAUUUAUCCCUUCUGUGAGUAGACAAGUUAACUAGGUAUGUUGUCUUCGUGGUCAUCUGUAUAUAUGCUAAUGUCAGCUUUAGCAUUCAAAUCAACCUUCAUAUUUGUAUCUUUCAUUUGCAGUGCACAAUUUGUGAUUUAAUCAUUCACUCAAGUGGUAAGAUCUCAGUCUGGUGGACUCCAUACCAUGGCAUUUAAUAUUCUUACAUCUGGAAUUUUCAUGCAACAACUGAUAGUAAAGAUUGUCUGGCUAAAUUGGUUGUACUCACAUGAACAAUUAGACGCACCUUUUCCCUUUUGGCUCCUAAAAUUGAUGUAUGGAGAUGAUACCCAAUUUUUGCAGGUUGUAAUAAAAAAGCUACUGUUUAAUUAAAGUGAGAAUGGAAAUUUCAACAUUAGCAUCCUUAUAUAAGGCCUUUUAUGCCUUUUUUUUCUAAGGCCUCAAACAAGCAAAUAUGCAGUCAUCUAUGCUGAUGCUACCCGAUUGACGCUUGUGGCCGCCGGCUGGAGGGCGUUCAGGCAAAGGACAAUCGUGGAGUGCAAGGAUAACCUAGGAGAUGACGCCCACCUAUUUUUGGCUGUUUGUGUGAUUAGAUAGCUUCAUAUUGGCUUGUUGUGGGUAUUGCAACGUAGGUUAUCACUCUCCUUUUCUUUGUUAAAAUCAAGGUGCCGGUCUCUCAUCUUUCGUGAAUCAUUCUGUUGUGGCUCUGCAUCCCCAUCUGAAUGGGUAAAUUACCUAUCCAGAUUCAGUCAUCAGCUAUGCUCCGAUAGUACGUGUUGCUCACUAUACAAUCAAAUAUUACAACAUUUUGCUCACUCCAUGAUUUGAUAUAACAACAUUUUGCAGAUACCAAAACAAAAGUAGAUUAGUAGUCUAUCGGUUAAUUAUAUUGCCCUUUGCUUCUGUGUAUAGAACUAUAUAUCAGUAUAUCACAUGGACUCCUUGAAGCAAGCAAAGAUUUUUGACUUGUGAGGUCUAACUUGUCAUUUAUCUUAUAGAAUUUUAGAAAUGGUACCAAGCUUAGAAUUUAAUGUAGGAGAGUCAAUAGGAACUAUACAAAUGAAGUCAGAGUUUAGUUAAGAACUUGGUAAACAUUUUUGGCAGCUAAUGUAUUUUGUCUUAUUUUCUAUAUAUUGUCAUGUUUUUAUGUAAUUGCGCUCUUUUAUGUGAAAAAAAGAAGUGUAAAAUUUUCUCUUCUCUUUCACUCCAUCAAACUAAUCCAUGAUAUAUGGCAUGUAGUUGUCUCAUGGAUGAGUGACCACCUGAAGGUUCUUCGGUAUAGUUCUUCCACUCUUCAGUGAAAUAUUACGUUGAGUUUCUAUCGCCUUGAAGAAAAAGACUGCAGUUAAUUUCUAUGACGGAGAUAGUUACUACCAAAGGUGUUGGUCUAGGUUGCAGAUUUGGCUAUCUGUGUAUGGUAUUUUAUAAUUUGUAUCUUGUCUUUGCAAAUAGUUGACGAGUUGACAUUUUUUUCAAGACAAUUGUGAUAUGGAUGUUUGACCUCUUUGAUUACUGCCCAACAUA